UCAUUGUUAUUACCAGUGUUAGCAGCUGCUGAAUAGCCUCCUGGCUACUUAUCAAUAACAAGAAAAGACCUUGAGAAGAAAGAAGUACAAUGAUCCUCAAAAGUUUUGCAUUGAUAGAGUUGGUAAAGAGACCUGUCUGCCUAGGAGCCAUACACAAUAAUUCAAUAAUAAUUAAUAAACUUUUUUUCCUUCUGUUCCAUUUUAUGAUAUUGAUCUCACUAAGGAUCCAGUCACCUCAGGAUUAGACGACCUUUUUACUAAAUAUUCCUUCCACUCUGUCAUUAAUUUCGCUGGUAUGAAAGCAGUCGGUGAAUCAAUGAAGAUACCACUCGAAUAUUACUCGUGUAACCUCUCGAUUGUAUUUAAUCUACUAGUUGUUAUGAAGAAGUACGGGGUCAAGAACUUUGUAUUUUCAUCGACGGCCUGUGUCUAUGGAGAGUCCCAGUACCUCCCUAUUGAUGAGUCCCACCCAGUGGGGGACUGUGCUAAUCCUUACGGGAAAUCCAAAUAU